GACGAACGCUGGCGGCGUGCCUAAUACAUGCAAGUCGAGCGAGGCGGCGGAUGGGGGAGUAACGCGUGGGUAACCUGCCCUUAAGUGUGGGAUACGAUUUGGAAACAGAUUCUAAUACCGGAUACUAAAGGAUGGACCUGCGAUGCAUUAGCUAGUUGGUAAGGUAACGGCUUACCAAGGCGAUGAUGCAUAGCCGGGUUGAGAGACUGAUCGGCCACAUUGGGACUGAGACACGGCCCAAACUCCUACGGGAGGCAGCAGUAGGGAAUAUUCCACAAUGGACGAAAGCCUGAUGGAGCAACGCCGCGUGAGUGAAGAAGGUUUUCGGAUUGUAAAGCUCUGUUGUUGGUGAAGCGUUAAUCAACCAGAAAGUCACGGCUAACUACGUGCCAGCAGCCGCGGUAAUAC
rnacentral:rRNA from 1 species